rnacentral:rRNA from 1 species
CAUGCUGUAAACGAUGGGUGCUUGUCGUUGGUAGUGUAAACCCUACCAGUGACGUAGCUAACGCGUUAAGCACCCCGCCUGGGGAGUACGGUCGCAAGAUUAAAACUCAAAGAAAUUGACGGGGACCCGCACAAGCAGUGGAGUAUGUGGUUUAAUUCGACGCAACGCGAAGAACCUUAUCCUGGUCUUGACAUGCCCUGACAACCGGUGAAAGCCGGCUUUCCCGCAAGGGACAGGGACACAGGUGC